rnacentral:rRNA from 1 species
AUUGAACGCUGGCGGCAGGCUUAACACAUGCAAGUCGAACGAGUGGCGGACGGGUGAGUAAUGUCUGGGAAACUGCCCGAUGGAGGGGGAUAACUACUUGAACCGGUAGCUAAUACCGCAUACCAUUGGAUGUGCCCCGAUGGGAUUAGCUAGUAGGUGGGGUAAUGGCUCACCUAGGAGACGAUCCCUAGCUGGUCUGAGAGGAUGACCAGCCAUACUGGAACUGAGACACGGUCCAGACUCCUACGGGAGGCAGCAGUGGGGAAUCUUGCACAAUGGGCGCAAGCCUGAUGCAGCCAUGCCGCGUGUAUGAAGAAGGCCUUCGGGUUGUAAAGUACUUUCAGCGGUGAGGCGUUACCCGCAGAAGAAGCACCGGCUAACUCCGUGCCAGCAGCCGCGGUAAUAC